GUCCCUCUGUGGAAGAUGCUCUCAGGCCAGAGAGACUUUCGGAUGAUUUCUUGCAGCCGAGUGAAAUGCUGGCGCCACCCAGGAGAUGGUGCUAUUGAACCGAAGAAUCAGCACAGCCCUGACCCAGAAGCAUCUCUAUGCAGCCCUCCCUGUUUUCCAUUCGUGUUGCAUAUUAUUUUUUAGGGUCUUCAUUUUCUUUUAGAAAAAGGAUGUGUCCGUGUUGAACCUGGAAUAUAUUCCAGUAUGAUCUGUAAUGCAAUUUUCGGACAGACAAUCCUACGUCCUCAAUUGAAAUGACAUUAGCACCUGACGGAAAUGUUUUUUCCUUGAAGUGCCUGGCUAAAAAGAAAGUAAAGCCGAGGCAGGGAACGGCUUCAGAGCUAAUUGCCCUAAUCCAAGCAACUGCAUGAGAAGCGCUGUGCCAAAGCCGAGCGCUUGCCGGGUGGCCUGCUUUGCCGCCGCAAGCUGCUGGCUGCGCGGGGGUGGCCAGCAGCUGGACUGCUCGCCAGGCUUCGCAGAAACGUGGUGCUCAUAGGCUUCCUCCGGCCACCCUGCGAGACUGCCCGUCCCCACAUAAGCAUUUCUCGGAAAGCUCUGGUGUCCAGGUCGCAGUCAGGCUGUUGCAGAGUGUCUGUUGGGAAGACCUGGAUAUGCAACUGGGCAGCCUGUUACAGACAAAGCUCUGACUGAAACAGGCAUCUGACUGCAGCAUGAAGCGUAAGCAGUUGAGAAAAGGUGAUAUUCUGCUCCAUUCAUCUCUGCUCUUGUGUUCAUCUUCUCCUACUCAUAUAGUACGGAAUCUCCCAAGUGAAGGAGGGAGUCUUCGCACACAUCAGGAGAGAACCAGCACUAUGUAACCAGGCAGCUGUAAACCUUCAGCUGCAGUCCACUGACAGGAAUCUAUAGACCAUCAGUUUGCGAAUCCUCUGCUUUAGACCUCUAAACGAUUCAGCAUUUACUCCGUCUGAUGACGCAACGAAUCUGGGAGUGAAGAACUUCUUAGAGCUGAUUGGAAAUGGCAUUGCAGAGCUGAAACUUAACUGGAGGAAAUAUAUCUCCUGAAGAAGAAAAUAUAAUGCACUUUAAGGAUCUGACUUCUGGUGAAAAAUUCAAGCCUAGAGAAAACUUGUCCACUUUGUUAGGAAGAAUGGGUUGGACAAUUUUCUUCAGUUCCAAAGGAUAUCUGAAUGCCAUGCUGAGCUUAAUCUCUGCAGCAUGCUCUGUGCUUCUCAUCUCUUCCU